CCGCGCUGCAUAUGUUAUGUUUGUGGUAGCGGUUUUGUUUGGAGCGGUCUGAAAUUUGGUGUCAGGUGUUGCUUCUCUGUUUGUUUACGAUUGACGAACAUUUGUGGAAAAUGUUUAAAGAAAAGUUAUUUCUGUGUGUUUUCACAGCGUGUAUUUUUGGAUAAAAUGAUAAGUUCUUUUACGUAAAUCCGUACGACUGGGAACAAAGUGGAUUAUGCGUGAACCUACAUAUCUGCUCCUGAUGAACAAUGGACACCUUUAAAAAGCCAGAAAGGGUUCCACCAAGAAAAACAGUAAAGGAUAGCCAACAAGAUACACACUACUGUGCAAGACUCGAGUCCUCUGUAACAUCCGCUUCCCCAUCAACAUCACUUUGUUCACAACAGUCUAAAUGCAAUAACUAUAGCUAUGCUGCAAGUUUUUACAAAAGUGUUAUAAAUAACAGUACUUUAUCCAAUGACUCAAGAGUUCUACAUGAUUCUUCUCAAUUACACAGUUCUGUAAAGAAGUUUGGUGAAACUAUGUGGCUUGAGCUUAUAAAUACUGCCAGUAAGUGGCAGGUUGAGGGAUUUGCUGAAAAGUGCAAGGAAAUGAAAAUGAGGGCAGCUCUGUCAAAAGGCAAUUUACAUAAGAAAGUGGUGUUCUUUGAAAGAUGGUGGUGUGUUUUAACAGAUGAACUCGAUCUCUGCAUUCAGGGAUUUGUGGAGAACAAGAGUGGUAUGGUUCAGACUGAACCCAUAAUAAAACGAAUGGAUUCCCAUACUGUGGCCAGUCGAAAUUAUUUAUGCAAACUGAAAAAUUUCAGUGAUGAAGACUGUGUUUCAGGUUUACCACACUUCAUUAAAAACAGAUUUGCUUGUGGAUUCCCUGAAGACUGGAAACUGUUAAGAAGACAAUGGACCAUGUUUUUAAAAGCAGGAGAACCACGAGAUUUUCAGUGGAAGGGAAAUGACAAUGCAGCUAUUUUAGACAACUGUUCUUCCAUCCAAAAGCCCCCUGGACAAUCAUCACAGGAAAGUAGUUGUGAGGAAUUCACAAACAAAACUCAAAAGAGAAAUUCAUUGCUUGCCAACAAUAAGUUCACAGAAAGAGUUCUUGGACUUGAUUCUAAUAAUGCUGUAGUUGAAAAACGUGAUACUAAAAAUACAGGAAACCGGCCAUGUUUAGAAGAAGAAAGAACUAACUGUGGAAUCCCUAAAAGAAAUGAACCAGAAUGUAGCAACACAGCUACAACUACAAAUAAACAUUUUCUGGCAACUAAAAGAAGUUUCGAUAUUGUUAAUGAUAGUGAAGACUCAAGCGAUGAAGAUAAUGGCAUUGUCAACUUGGGGACAAAUUGCCAAGAUGCAAAAAUCAAUGAUAAUCAGUAUGGAAAUAAGGAGCAAUCGGUUGUCGUGAGAAGAAAUAAUACACCUCAAGCAUUGGUGGGUAAUGAAGUAUUACUGGAGAAGUGGCUGCCAGUCUUGAAGGGGAGACAACUCUGCUUCAAAGGAGUCAGGUCUACAGGGAGCACAUACAACGAUCACACAACAGCUGCCGUAAAAUCAAGACUUAAAAGUGAUACUGUGACACUUGUUGAUGGCAGUACCCUCAAGCUUAUAGGACAGUUUCUUGACGUACAAAAUUGUUUGCCUGCAGAAAUUGGAUCUAAGUUCAAAUGCGGAAUGCCACUGCAUUGGCGGAAAGUAUUAGAUAUGUGGAUUACCUAUGCCAACAUUGCUAAAGGUACAUCUGCUACAAGAGGUGAAUCUUCACACUUGAAUAACCAGCAACAAGGAAAUGUGAAAACAAGCUCACGGGGCCGUAUUUUGCUGCGACCAGUGAAACACUGGUUAGGUGAGACUCCUUCAUCAGUCAUUAACUGUAUGGCAGACAACGAUAAAGAGAAAAAUAACGACGUACGAGAGAAACUAUGGAAUGAUCAAGGCUCAAAUGCUUUGCCUGCUGUGAAAAGUGACAGAGUGCAAAGUGCAGGUGACAAGAAAAAAUGUGAGAUGUUGAACAAGCCGGAAGCAGUACCACCAAAAAGCAUAAAAAAUGCAGUCAACUCAACACGAAAGAAAGAAUUAGUUUAUAGAAACGUAAAGAAAAGUAAAAAAGAACGGCAGCCAUCUAUACCUGACACAGACAAAGUUGUGAAUAGUGAUCCUUUAGAUCGCAAUAACUGUCCAGAAAAUCAAUUUGAAAACCCAAUUCAUUUUACAAAUUCAGAAAGGAGAGUUCUGAAGAGUGGAAACAAACAAAUCAAUGCACAAAAAGAAAGUUCUAAUGCCAUAAUGUACAAGAACAAGAAUGAUGGUGUUGGUAAGAAUGAAGUUUCUCAUAGUAUCCACUCAAUUAAUAAAAUCAAUAAAGGAAAUUUAAAGCCAAAUACUACAGUCCCAGUAUUAGGCAAAGAUAGUAAAGAUUCCACCAAUGACAAAAAUAGUAAGCACACUGCCAAGAAAACUAAAAAUAUGAAAACAAGUGAUAUGGGCUAUGAUUUUACAGAUUUUCUUGGGAAGCCCCCACGUACCCUGAAGCAGAGGAAGAAACUGGCCAAAAUAGUCAAUACACUAUCACAAAAUAACAAAAAAAAUGUGGAUGUUUUUGAUGAUACUUCAGAAGAUCAUGAAAAUAGUAGGGCGGAGUGGGAUGAUUUUAUAGAUUUGAGUGAUUGUGCAACUUUUAACAUCGGAGAAGAAACACCACGUUCAAAGUUACUUCAUGGAAGUUGUUUCAAGACACCUGAGACUUCUCCAUCACGCUCUAUAUUCCAGAUAACACCAUGUAAUAGUGGUGAAGUUCUGCGAUACGUUCAUCAACAGAAGACAAAAAAAGACAGAGCUGACGAAAAGAAAGAUGCAAAGAAAACAAAAUUAUCUUUUAUUCAUACCACAACAGAAAAUCAGGCUGUAAAUGACAUAUAUGCAGCACUUCUGAAGGGGAGAAACCAUCCCAAAACAUAUAAUAACCAAAGCAAUGAAUGUUGACAGUGAUGAUAGUUCAUCUGAAUCUUUUUACUGAUAUAAUUAACAUAAAUAGCUGGGCCAUAGUAUUUUAUGUGCUGUGCAGUGAUGGCUUGUCUGAUUAGUUUAUUCCUCUCUGUGGCCCAAGGUAGAGAAGGGAGAAAACAUUUAAAAUAGGAGUAAAACAUUACGUAUUGCUGGCCUAACUACGCUGGGCGCUGCUUC